GACGUGCUAAUCUGCGAUAAGCGUCGGUAAGGUGAUAUGAACCGUUAUAACCGGCGAUUUCCGAAUGGGGAAACCCAGUGUGAUUCGUCACACUAUCAUUAACUGAAUCCAUAGGUUAAUGAGGCGAACCGGGGGAACUGAAACAUCUAAGUACCCCGAGGAAAAGAAAUCAACCGAGAUUCCCCCAGUAGCGGCGAGCGAACGGGGAGCAGCCCAGAGCCUGAAUCAGUGUGUGUGUUAGUGGAAGCGUCUGGAAAGGCGUGCGAUACAGGGUGACAGCCCCGUACACAAAAAUGCACAUACUGUGAGCUCGAUGAGUAGGGCGGGACACGUGGUAUCCUGUCUGAAUAUGGGGGGACCAUCCUCCAAGGCUAAAUACUCCUGACUGACCGAUAGUGAACCAGUACCGUGAGGGAAAGGCGAAAAGAACCCCGGCGAGGGGAGUGAAAAAGAACCUGAAACCGUGUACGUACAAGCAGUGGGAGCACGCUUAGGCGUGUGACUGCGUACCUUUUGUAUAAUGGGUCAGCGACUUAUAUUCUGUAGCAAGGUUAACCGAAUAGGGGAGCCGAAGGGAAACCGAGUCUUAACUGGGCGUU
rnacentral:rRNA from 1 species